rnacentral:rRNA from 1 species
GACAGAGGGGCAAGCGUUGCUCGGAAUCACUGGGCGUAAAGGGCGCGUAGGCGGGAUGGCAAGUCAGUCGUGAAAUCUCUCGGCUCAACCGAGAAACGUCGGCUGAUACUGCCGUUCUUGAGGGAUGCAGAGGAGACUGGAAUUCCCGGUGUAGCGGUGAAAUGCGCAGAUAUCAGGAGGAACACCGGUGGCGAAGGCGGGUCUCUGGGCCGAUACUGACGCUGAGGAGCGAAAGCGUGGGGAGCGAACAGG